GACAGAGGCCUCGAGCGUCAGGCGGAAUUACUGGGCGUAAAGCGCGUGUAGGCUGACCGGAAAGUCGGGCGUGAAAUCCCUGAGCUCAACUCAGGAACUGCACUCGAAACUCUCGGUCUAGAGUGGUGGAGAGGGAAGUGGAAUUCCUGGUGUAGAGGUGAAAUUCGUAGAUAUCAGGAGGAAUACCGGUGGCGAAGGCGGCUAUCUGGCUACACACUGACACUCAGACCCGAAAGUGCGGGGAUCAAACAGG
rnacentral:rRNA from 1 species